GAAGUGACAGCUGUACAACAGCCAAUAGAUAGUCACACAGCUGAGGAGCAGGAGGGCUUAUCUCCAGGGAGUGAUUGUCAAUAGAAAAGAUGACAUACUGAGGGCAGAGUGGCCAGAUAAGAGCAACAUCAAAGGGGGUUUGGAGCAAUUUCAUGGACGCCAGAGCUGCACCCUAAAAAUCCCCACAUGGUAAAUUAAUCUUCUUUCCUCCUGAUGAAACUGGAUAAAUGCAAGGACUCUUCCCUCCUCAUUCUUCAGAGGAGCAUCAGUCUCACUGUCUCUCCGUGCCUCUUCUCUGCAGUGACUCUGUGAUCCAGCCAGUCUUCAGCCAUGAAGACCCUUUACCUUCUCUUUGCUGUUGCUUGCUUGGUUUUCCAUGUCCAGGCCAGUCCCACGCCCGUUCCCGGGGAUGUGCCACAAGAUGAGCCCAAAAACCUAGAUGCUGCGGAGGAUGAUGGGAUAGGAGUGGAAGAUGUUGAUGUUGUCGAAGAUUCCGAUGUUCCUGACAGCCCCUUUCAGUGCCUGCAGGCUCGUGGUAUUUGCCGACCGCUUCGGUGCCGUAGGAAUGAAGGAAACAUAGGAAUGUGUUUUCGUAGGGUACCUUGUUGUUCAAAAUAAAAGUAAAGAAUGCACUGAGUGGAGAUUGAAGAACUUCAGACAGGGGAUUCAGAGCAUCCAGACAAAAUCUGUCCAUAUAAAUUAACAUCAAGCGAUUCUGAAAUCAUGGUCUAUAAUUAUAAACAAUUCUUGCACCAGUA